AUUGAACGCUGGCGGCAUGCUUUACGCAUGCAAGUCGAACGGUAACAGGCCGCAAGGUGCUGACGAGUGGCGAACGGGUGAGUAAUGCAUCGGAACGUGCCCAGUCGUGGGGGAUAACGCAGCGAAAGCUGUGCUAAUACCGCAUACGAUCUAUGGAUGAAAGCGGGGGACCGUAAGGCCUCGCGCGAUUGGAGCGGCCGAUGUCAGAUUAGGUAGUUGGUGGGGUAAAGGCCUACCAAGCCGACGAUCUGUAGCUGGUCUGAGAGGACGACCAGCCACACUGGGACUGAGACACGGCCCAGACUCCUACGGGAGGCAGCAGUGGGGAAUUUUGGACAAUGGGCGCAAGCCUGAUCCAGCAAUGCCGCGUGCAGGAAGAAGGCCUUCGGGUUGUAAACUGCUUUUGUACGGAACGAAACGGUCUGGGUUAAUACCCUGGGCUAAUGACGGUACCGUAAGAAUAAGCACCGGCUAACUACGUGCCAGCCGCCGCAGUAAGAC
rnacentral:rRNA from 1 species